rnacentral:rRNA from 1 species
UACGUAGGGGGCAAGCGUUGUCCGGAUUUAUUGGGCGUAAAGAGCGUGUAGGCGGCUUUGCAAGUCCGUUGUGAAAACUCGAGGCUCAACCUCGAGACGCCGGUGGAAACUGCAAAGCUAGAGUCCGGAAGAGGAGAGUGGAAUUCCUGGUGUAGCGGUGAAAUGCGUAGAUAUCUGGAGGAACACCGGUGGCGAAGGCGGCAUCCUGGACCAAUACUGACACUGAGGAGCGAAAGCCAGGGGAGCAAACAGG